UAUUAACGCUGGCGGCGUGCCUAAUACAUGCAAGUCGAGCGAACAGACGAGGAGCUUGCUCCUCUGACGUUAGCGGCGGACGGGUGAGUAACACGUGGAUAACCUACCUAUAAGACUGGGAUAACUUCGGGAAACCGGAGCUAAUACCGGAUAAUAUAUUGAACCGCAUGGUUCAAUAGUGAAAGACGGUUUUGCUGUCACUUAUAGAUGGAUCCGCGCCGCAUUAGCUAGUUGGUAAGGUAACGGCUUACCAAGGCAACGAUGCGUAGCCGACCUGAGAGGGUGAUCGGCCACACUGGAACUGAGACACGGUCCAGACUCCUACGGGAGGCAGCAGUAGGGAAUCUUCCGCAAUGGGCGAAAGCCUGACGGAGCAACGCCGCGUGAGUGAUGAAGGUCUUCGGAUCGUAAAACUCUGUUAUUAGGGAAGAACAAAUGUGUAAGUAACUAUGCACGUCAUGACGGUACCUAAUCAGAAAGCCACGGCUAACUACGU
rnacentral:rRNA from 1 species